rnacentral:lncRNA from 1 species
UGAAAUCUGUCAUCUCGUCUUCCCAUCAUUUCAUUUUCAGUUUGACGAUUUUUCUUUCAAAACUUCUUCUGAAUCGUUUUAUUUUCUUUAGUUUUGAAGCUUUCUUCCUUCCUUUCCUCAUCUCCUGGCAUUUCCUAGUCUGGUUCGCGCAACCGAUCAUAUCUUCUUUGAUCUUUGGCAUACUCAGGGACCUCCAUUUCUAGGUAAACCUCCUCUUUCCUUCUUAGGGUUUCUGUUGCAAGAGUAUGUGUGAGAUUAUUUGCAAAUAUUGGUGUGUGUUGAAAACUGACGUUAUUGAACUCAUUUUCUGCUGAAUAUCAUGAAUAUAUACCCCUAUCAUUGAUCGAUCUUGACCUUUGGUAUUGCAUUUUUUAAUUACUGCGAGGGAAUCUCCUUCAAAAAUGACUGACUGCCAUCCCCUAUCAACUCCUAUUUGAACAGCUCUCCAACAAGCAAUUGCUUCAGCAGCAAAUGCAGAGGUAAUGUCUCUUUGCAUCUCUGAAUAGGAUAACAAAACUCUUCCUUCGGCAUCUCUGGCCACAAUACCUGAGGCUGAACAAUACUGACUCUCAUUAUAUGCUCCAUCGAAAUUUAUCUUUAACUUGACACCGACUCAAAAUUGAUGACAACACCAUGAUAAAAAUUUUAAUAUACUUUUUUCAAUUUAAUAAUGUACAUAUUUCAUGUGUUAUUAUUUAUUAGCUUCAAACUAAACAUUUUAUUAUUUAUCGUAUGUUAUUUUAGAAUAGACAUUUGUGUUUUAAUUUUGUGGUUUUUACACGCAUACGCAUGUGAUAGGAUUUCUAGUAUAAAAAAUUAUAUACAAAAUUAUUCGAAUUUAUAUAUACAAAAUUUGAAUAUAAAAAUUACUAAUUCAAAAUUUCAAUUUGAAAUUUUUUAAAUUUAAAUAUAUAUAAAUUAUUAGUAAAAAUUAAAUAUAUAAAAGAAUUAAUUUUUCAAUUUUUAAAAUUUUUAGACAUUUUAAAUAAUUAGUAUUUUUUUUAUAAUUUCUAAACCUUUUUAUAGUCUUUAACUCAUCUAGAAUGAAUCUGAACAUAUAGUUGUGUAGAUUAUAUGAACCCAGACAAUCAUAUGUCUAGGUUCAUUUCAAAUGUAAUUUUUAUUAAUUAUUUUAAAAUUUUCAAAAAUAUAUAUUUUUUAAAAUUGUCGAUAUAGUAUGCCACGCCAGUAUCCUUCUAUGUGGCAUGUCACAUGAUAUCUAUUAGUGCUUGUUGUUAACCACACAACACUUUUAACAGUAAAACCUAAUUGUUUACAUUAACCUUUUUAACCCUUACGACAUGUUUGGUUCACUGGAAUUGAAUAGAGUUGUAAUGGAAAAGAGUUGUAAUGGAAUAGAAUUGUAAUUAGUAAUCCAAUUGGUUGGUUGAAUAGAACGGAAUAGAACUGCAAUAGUAUUAUUGUGUUUAGUUAAAUGAAAUAGAUGUUGUAAUGGCAUAAGGAAAAAAAUUGAAAUGACCAGAGUACUUUUAGUUGAAUUUUUUUUAGGUAGAUGAUUAGUGUUAUUUUUAUUAAAAUUUAAUAGGAUUGUUAUUAGAUAUAAUUUAAUAAAAAUAAUAAAUUAUUUAAUCAUAUUUUAAUAUAAUUAUUAAAUAUAAUUUAAUAACAAUUUUAAUAUAAUUUAAUAUAAAUUAAAUUAUAUUAAAAUAUUUUAUUUUAAAUCAUAUUUUGAAAUAAAAUAUUAUAUAUUAAAUUAUAUUAAAAUGUUUAAAUAUUUUAUUUUUAUAUUUUCUGAGUCAAAGUUUUAAAAGACUAACAUGAAAAUCAAUUUUGUUUUGUUAUUCAAGGUUGUAAUGGAAUAGUCAUUAUUUGGUGAUACUAAAGAAUAAUUAUUACAGGAAAACAUGUAAUAAAGACGUAAUGGUCCUUUCUUUGAAUGAAUAUUACGUUCAACCAAAUAAAUGAAUGGUUUACCAUUGAAUGAAUGAGUAAAUAUUUUUCCAUUCCCCAAGUGUUAAUGUUUAAUCUAAUUUUGGAAAACAUAUCAAUUAUCUAUAUACAAAUAAUACAAUCCAUAAAGGCAUGGCUUUUUACGUGGUUGAAAAUUUGGUUUAAUUUAUAAGUGGUUUUUAAAUUUUUUUUUUGGAUAAAAUAUAAUAGUUUUUAAUAUGAUUUUUAUGUUAUAUACUAAUUCAUAUUAUGUUUUGGAUAAUUUGUUAUUAUGAUUUAAUUUAUAGAAAAGUUUGUGUUUUAACUUUUACGUGUUGUGUUUCAUCUUAUUAAAUGUUUUAUAUAAUUUAUCAUAGCAGAUUAAUUUAUAAUUUUUUUCAUGUUUUAUUAAAAAAUAAUAAAAUAUAUAAACCGAAAAUCUCAGACAAAAGAGGGGAUAAUUCUAGUGUUAUUAAAAUAUACACCUAUAUAAUCAUAAGAUUAGAAGUGAGGGCAAUCAUCUCUUCUACCUUAACCAAUGGUCAAAGGUUUAACAUUUUUUUGAGUAUGGAGUAACUUUAAAACUCGUUACUAAUAUUUACCGCUUAAUGAGCCUAUAAAAUGUACAUGAUUAAUCACUAAAUUUACUUCAAUGAAUACAUUAGGAAACAAAAAAAGAAUACACUUAUAGAAGUAUAAACCCUUAAUUAUUUUAUGAAAUCUUAAUCUGAUUAAUCUAAAUCUAAAUUUGAACUAAAUUCACGAAUUCAAAUUGGAAAAUAACCGAAACCACAAAUAACUAAAAUCUAAAAACCACUCAAUCAAAAUAGCACCACCCAAAAAGCUGGAUCCUGUUAAUUUGAAUUCAACCCUAAACUAUCUUAAUUUAACCAUAAAAUGUCGACAUUUUCAAACCCAUCCAACCUUAACAUAAAAUAAAACUAAAAUUAAAAUUAAAAUAAAAAGGAUGUGGCAAAUGAAAAAUCUAUUUUAGAGCAGCCUUCAGAUUGAUGCCAAAUGGCUCGAUCGACCAUCCUUUAUCCCAAUGGCAGAAUCAAAGACAGAGACAUGGACAUGAAAGCAAAAGUAGUGACGUGUUAUAUGCCAUAGCCAGAGACAGCUGCUUCGCAAAAGGGAAAGGAGAAAAAACAGAACAAAUACUAUAAUUGAUGGUGCAGCAGAUGCAGAUAAUAAUAAUUAGAUAAGUGAGAGAGAAAGCAACGUAGGGGCGGCGCCUGUAAAUCAUUUGUACGACGGAUUACGACUGUUGUGUUUUUUGGGGAUUCAGGUUUUGUCUGCCUGCAAAUGGGGGGUUGGCUGGCUAAACCCCAUUGCUCCACCUCCCAAUACUGCCAUGCCCUGUAUGUUUUCAAUGGGGGAGUCUUCACGUAAAAGAUUUUCUUUUACCUACUACUGUACCUGUUAUUCACGUGAUCACUAUAAUUUUUUGGUAUAAAUCUUUCCAAAAGGUCAAAUUCCCUGUAAACAAUAAUCACCACGCAUGGUGUUUUUAAUGGGGAGAUAAAAAG